rnacentral:snoRNA from 1 species
UGUUGCCUAUGGUAUCUGAUGUCCAGAUUUGAUAAAUGUAGCUGGUCAUUUCGUUUUUACGGGCACAAAUUAAAACUUUAGAACAGAUCUUGCGACACAGUUAGCUCCUUUUUUUACGAGCUUUCUGUUACUUUAAAGCUGUUCACAUUC